UUGAAUAGCAAAUAUAUUCUUACAAAGUUCAACUUUUCAUUUUUCUCUCUACAAAAGUCUAGUGAUAUUUAUAUUUGUCUUUCUGAUUUGUUACCGUUAGAGCACUAUUUAUUUUUUAACAACAAAUAAGUGAAAUGAUAGUUUUGUCCUCAUAAAUAUAUCUCUCCAAAAGUCCUAGCUGAAAGAAUUAUAUAAAAAUAUCAUCCUAAAAGAAAAUAUUUUACCUAAAUAACAGGGAUAAAAAGUUAAUUUAACUUAUUCACUAAUCAAACUUAAAUAUUUUACUAAUAGCUAACUAUAUUUUUCUAAUGGAUCUAUAUUUAAAAACGUUUGGAAGUUUGCAGGGAUUAAAAAUAAAAAAAUUAAACUUUAUAAAAAUAUUUCUAUUAUUUGAUAUGUUGACAGAGAGUUGUACGCAAUUAAUACUAUUCUAUUUGUUUCUAUAAAAUAUU
rnacentral:lncRNA from 1 species